rnacentral:rRNA from 1 species
GACGAGGGGUCCUAGCGUUGCUCGGAGUCAUUGGGCGUAAAGCGGGUGUAGGCGGCUUAGCAAGUCAGAAGUGAAAGUCCUGGGCUCAACCCGGGAAGUGCUUUUGAAACUGCUGAGCUUGAGUGUAGGAGAGGGCAGUAGAAUUCCUGGUGUAGUGGUGAAAUACGUAGAUAUCAGGAGGAAUACCGGAGGGGAAGCCGGCUGCCUGGCCUAACACUGACGCUCAGACCCGAAAGCGUGGGGAUCAAACAGG